GGUUGUGGUACUGCUUGUGGAGGUGGGGGCGGAGGAUGGUGACGGUGGUGGGGCUGGUACUCAAUGGUGGUGGUGGUAUUGGCAGGGGGAGGGGAAUCUUCUGGUUCACGGCGGUGGAAGUUGCGGUGGCAACCGCAGGCAGCGCAUUUUAUGGAAGUGGGGUCGUUGUGGUUAGCAAUGGGGGAAGGCAUGAACUCUCCACAGCCAUCUAGAGCAUGACCGCCCAAGGAAGCAGCGUGGUUCUUGAGGCAUUCUUUGUAAGUUACGACUACCGGAGGAGCAGAAAGAUGGUGGUGAUGGUGGUGGGGAUUGUGGCGUUUGAGCACACCGUUGGUGAAAGAUACAGGCUUAGCUGAUUGGAUCCGGGUAGGCGUUUCCGUUUCCUGGUCAGGAGAUUUUGCAGUUGGGGUAUUUGUGUUGGUGAUGGAGGUUGUUGUUGGGGCUAUGUCCAUGGCUCAAACAUUUAAUUGAAGUUUUAAGGAAAAAAAAAUAAAGGAAGUAAAAUAAAGAAUAAAAAAGCAGAAAAGCAAGAAUUUAAGAUUUAUGAAGGUGGAGGGUGGCUUAUGCAAUUAGGGUUUUGUAGAGGUUGGUAGUGAUGUAGGCAGCCAUGGAAGUGAUGGUGGUGGGGUUUGUAAAGGGAAAACGGAUGAUGGGUUUGUAUUUUUGAGGUGGGGUGAGAGAUAGAGACGGAGGAGGGAUAGAAGGUGGUGGAGGAGGAAGAGAAGGUGGUAGAAGAGAAGAAGAAGAGAAUGAUGAUGAUGAUGAUGAUGAGCAGUGAUGACUGUUGAUAAUAAAAAUCUGGGUUUCUGUGGCUGUCCUUCUUAACCUUAACCCAAUUGUGUGAUUUUAACCCUAGUUCUAAUAUACAUGGUUAAG
rnacentral:misc_RNA from 1 species